CCGGCGACCGGCGCACGGGUGAGUAACACGUAUGCAACCUGGCCGUGACAGAUGGAUAACCGGGAGAAAUCCCGCCUAAUACAGCAUGACGCCGGGAAGGGACAUCCCUUUCCGGCCAAAGGGGGCGACUCCGGUCACGGAUGGGCAUGCGGCGCAUUAGGUAGUUGGUGGGGCAACGGCCCACCAAGCCGACGAUGCGUAGGGGUUCUGAGAGGAAGGUCCCCCACACUGGUACUGAGACACGGACCAGACUCCUACGGAAGGCAGCAG
rnacentral:rRNA from 1 species